GUUAUAGUAUUCCAGGAGCAAAGCAGUGAACAGCAUCUUUUACAUGUGGCUGAGUGUUUUAAGACAAAAACUUCUUCAAUAACAAAUGGAACGUAAAAAAUUCGUUGCUUUGCAACAAACUUUUGAAAUCUAAAUUGCAAGGAUUUACACAGACAGUUAUGAUUACUAUUAUGGACUGGCAAUGAGACUUAGCACUGUAUAUAUUUAAGAUCAACUAAAUAUUUAAGAUUAUCAAUAUGGAGACAUCUGUUUGUAUACUUUGCGGCAAUGCAACGCAAAAGGACAUGCGUGAAAUAAAAGAAAAAGCUUUGGGUCGUUUAGUGGAGUGUAGCAAGAAAAAAGUUGACAAUAAAUACAAAACAUUCGAGAAAUUAGCAUCUGCUUUUGUUCAUCGAAGUUGUCAAACUAUGCACAUCAACGAUAGAGCAAUAUCUACAUAUGUCUCUUCGAAACAGAGAAAAUCUGUCCAUCAAAAAACAAUUCAAAAAGAAGUGCUUAAAUUUGAUUUUCAUACUUAUUGCUUCUUCUGCGGUGGAUCUUUCAAUAAUUGUUCAAAACAAGAUAUCCGAUCUAUCGAAAGUCACGACACAAGACAGAAAAUUCUACAAAGAAUUGAAGACGAAAAGAAAUUAGAUGACGUCAGUAAAAGUAUUGUAGCUCGUUUAAAAUAUGUGCCUGAUUUAAUCGAAGUUAAAGCGCGUUAUUAUUCUGCUUGUAUGUCUCAGUUUUAUAGAGAAAGUACUUCAACAUCCGUUGGUUGUCCUGCAAGUGAAAACACAAAAAAUUUUAUUGAGUAUCUUAUUAAUUAUUCGUAACAACGAAAGCGAAUGUCAAUUUUUACUCAAUAAAAUUAAAGAAGGAUUUUCAGGAAAUCUUCCGGACUACACAACUAUUAAGAAGAAACUGAAAGAGAAUUUUAUGAACGAUAUCGAUUGUCAUAUUUUUAAAAAAGACAUGUUUAUUUUGUGUAAAAAUAGUACAGUAAGAAACUUUGUAAAGAAUGAUACGAAAGAAAAAUGGAAAAUAAAGAUGACGAACAAGCCAGAAUUGUUGAAAUGGCAGGUAAAAUCAUAUUAGAAGAUAUACGUUCUCAACUGUAUGAUCUCAGCAGCUACGAAAUUCCAGAUUUCCACGAAGAUAAUAUUUUCAAGGACAUUCUUUGUACAUUGAAGAGUUUACUAACUAUUAUAUGCGCAAGUUAUAAACAGAAGAGUAAAAGUGCUAUUUCUAAAAUGAAUAAAAAAAUUGCGACUAUAUCUCAUUGCAUCAUAUCCAUUGUAAGGCCCCGCUCUCAUAUAUCUUCAAUUUUACUCGGUUUAUCAUCGAUAAUCCACAAAAAAUACGCUUCAAAGGAGUUGAUUAACUUAUUAUCCAAUGUAGGAUUGUGUGCUUCAUACAAAGAAACAUAGCGUUUCGAAGCUUCGAGUAUUCAAGAUCUUGCAAAUCACACUUGUUCACCAGACUCAUACAUUCAAUUCAGUUUUGACAACGCAGACCAUAAUACUUGUACAAUCGAUGGCAAGAAUACUUUUCACGCAAUAGGUGGAAUUGUGGCUGCAACUCCUUCAUCUACGGUUUCUUCCAAAAGAAGUAUUUCAAGACUGAAGCGGAUUCCAUCUUCUGAAGAUAUUGGCAAAACUGGAUUCAUUGAACUAAAACAUUUUGAAAAAAAAACUCUGAAGGUUUGAAAGCAGUGUUAAUAGAAGAUAUUUUGGAUGGUGACACCGUCGACUAUGAAACUUUGUCGUUGGAUUUUACGUGACUAUAUUCCAAAGUUUGUAAUAAACAAUCACUUGGAUGGAACGGAUUUAUGGAAAAAGCACAUUCAACUUUGACUUGUCAUGCUUCCAAAAUUAUUCCUCUUCCAAUUAUAAAUAAUCCACCGAACGAUUAUGACACAAUUUUCACUUCAUUGGUGGAAGCAUAUAAAUAUUGCCAAAAACAAGAACAAAAGAUUGGAUUCGUCACUUUUGACCAACCACUAUAUCAAAAAGCUCGCGAAAUACUGGCCAGUUGAUCCACAAAAUGAUCCAUAUAAUCUGUCAAAAAUCAAAGUAAGACUUGGUGGAUUUCAUUUAGUAAUGUCGUUCCUCGGAGGAGUGGGAUUCAUCUGGAUGGCAGUGGACUGAAAGAGGCUUUUUGUGAGAUAUACGCGGAAAAUUCGGUGGAUAAAGCUCUUUCUGGUCAUGCAUAUUCAAGAGCUAUCAGAGGGCAUUUUCUUGUACAACUUGCAUUGACAAAAAUAAUUUUUUUAUCGAUGGAUUUCACAGACACAGAAAAAGUUGUAUUGGAUGCGCUUCUAAUGGACUUAGGAACUGAAGAGUGCGCACAAAAGUUAUUAGAUGAGAGAUUUUAAACGGAUAAAACAAAAAUUUAUAAAACAACUUCAAUCCUUGAGAAAGAGAGGCCCUACCUCACAACUGUGGAUUCAGUAUUGGGAAAUGAUCUCAAUAGUUCGUGAUUUUAUACGUGCUGAGUGUUCCGGCAACUGGGAAUUACAUUUAACAUGCGUACAGAGAAUGAUUCCUUAUUUCCAUGCAAAUGGACACUUUUUGUAUGCGAAAUCUGCUCAUCUGUAUCUUCAAGAUGUGCGCAAACUCAAAGAAACAAUCAACGAUGAUUAUGAAUUCACGCGAUUCACGUUUGACGGAUUUUUUACUAUUAGAGGUACUCACAAGUUUUGGUGUGGGGUUUGGUCAGAUAUGACGAUCAAACAAUUUCUGAUGAGAUCUAUGAAAACCCAGAGAGGACUUACUCACGGUCGUGGCUUAUCCGAAAGCGUUUUAGUAAAAUUUAUUUUAACGAUGGUUAUUCUUGUUGAGGUUUGUAAUAAAAUGGAGGAUUUUUGUAGUGUUUUCUUUGCAACUACCGAGCAACACGUAGAUUCCAAGGAAUAUCGUAUAAAAAGUGAUGUGGCUGAUCUUGAGAAAUUAGUCAUUUUUUAACAGAUAUGACCCAUUUCCGGAGACUGAUAAGAUAACAUCAAUUUUUCUGGAAUUGUUGGCAAUAAUGCAGUUAAUUGUCACAAAGCGUAUCAAGCAGGGGUAAAAUCUUUGAAGUCCAUCGUCGGAAAUAGUUUUGGCAGUGUUAAAUUAAAAAAAAAAAAAUAAAGUUUUAUCCCUAAAAACAGUCCAGUCUUCUGUUGCAUGGAGAAACUAUAGCAAUCGAUCCAUUGUUGCUCUUUCAACGAAUAUCAUUAAACAUCAACAGUAAGGAAGAUAUGGAAUGUUAUUUGCAAUACGAGCUUGCCCCAUUACCACUAUCACUUUUCACAGAGCAUGGCCUUAGAAAAAAUGUAAAAGCUCAACUUUACGAUGAAUUUCACAGCAUCAAUACCUCACCACUUUCCAACAAUGUCGUGCAUGUCGUGGAUGGUGGCUUCUUACUGCACAAAGUUAUUUGGCAGAAAAAUGAUACGUGGAAAAGAUUGUCAGCAAAUAUGUGCACUACGUACGAUACAAUUAUGCAGCCAACAAUUUCAUCAUUUUCGAUGCUUAUUCUGAAGUUGAAAAUACCACUACUGGGACAACAGCUACUAAUUUAACAAAACAAGCGGAGCGUAUUCGAAGAAAGUCUGUGAAAAAAAUUUCAAAAUUCCAUUACCAACAUCAUACAAAAAUACCGUUUUCACAAAUAAAGUUUCUAUCUAAUGAAAAAAACAAGGAUAAAAUGAUAAAAACUGUACUGAAAAAAUUAACAUCGGAAGGAUUUUUCUGCCAACAAGCUAAAGAAGAUGCUGACAUAAUUAAAACCUCGAUACAAGUUUCUAAGGACAAUGCGAAGACCGUCAUAGUUGUGGGACAAGAUAUUGAUCUUCUUGUUCUUCUAAAGUUCAAUUAAGUUCAAAGAAUAGUACCAUUUAUUUUCACAAGCCAGGUUCCGGUAAUGUCAAAGAUUCUUUUUACACCUCAAACAGUUUCAAACACAAAUCAUUAACAAAUUUUGUUGCAUUUUUACAUUGUUUUUCUGGUUGCGAUACAACUUCUGCAUUUGCUGAAAAAGGAAAAAAAACAACAGUGAAAUCACUAUUGUCCGAUCAAAAUUUAUCAUCAUUGGCCAGCAUUUUUUAUAACAGAGACGCAGACAAAAAAGACAUCUCCAAAAACGGUUUACAACUAAUCAAGGCAAUUUAUAAAUGCAAACAAGAAAAUGCCAUUUUAAACAAAUGAGAUUCUGUAACUAUCAAGCAGCAACAGUGAAGUCAUCAUUUAAAUUAGAAAAACUUCCACCAAGUGAAGACGCUGUGAAACAAUAUUGUUACCGGGCAUAUUAUCAACUUCAGACUUGGCUCGGUAACACACUAACCACAACGGAUUGGGGCUGGCAAAAAUUUCAAGAUGGAAUUAUGCCUAUAUUCACAGAACAAGAAUUGAUUCCGGAAAUAUUACAGAAAACUAUUUGCUGCAACUGUAAAAUCAGAUGUAAUAGCAAAAAAUGUGGAUGUCGCAAACAGGGAUUGAAAUGCACAAAUUUGUGUUUAAACUGCCACGCUUCCGAGAAAUGCUGCAAUAUGGAACAAUAAAAUAUUCAGGAAAUAAGCGACUCAGAAGAAGCUAUCGACGAAGAACCAGUUUUUAGACGGAACAUCGAAAUUGAAGAAAACGAUAACAUCAAUGAAGGUCCAACCGAAUCCGCAAGUUUUAUACAAUCUGACGACGAAGAACUUCCAGCGAAAAAGAGAAAAUUUGUGUGACACCUGAUAAAUUUAAUUAUAAUUAUUAUUAGCGUCGGUUAAUGAAAAAAAUUUAUUUAUAAUUUCCAUGGGCAUUUCCUGAAAUUUCUUUUCUGUGUUGAAAUAAUAUUUUAAAAUCAAUGUUAAUAAUAUCUCUACAUCCAACAAUGUCAAUAAAUUUAGAUUUUUAUAAUGAA
rnacentral:lncRNA from 13 species